GACGAACGCUGGCGGCGUGCUUAACACAUGCAAGUCGAACGGUGAAGCGCCUUCCUUUUUGGUUGGUGUGGUUGAGUGGCGAACGGGUGAGUAACACGUGAGUAACCUGCCCUUUUCUUCUGGAUAACCGUAUGAAAGUGUGGCUAAUACGGGAUAUUCUGGGUCUGUCGCAUGAUGGGUCUGGGUAAGCUAUUGUUUCGGGGGGGGAUGGGCUCGCGGUCUAUCAGCUUGUUGGUGGGGUCAUGGCCUACCAAGGCGGUGACGGUUAGCCGGCCUGAGAGGGUGGGCGGCCACAGAGGGACAGCGGCACGGCUGAGACUGCGACAGGGGGCAGCAGCGUAGAGUAGUGAACAGUGGGCACAAUUGUGAAGCGGGAGCGCGGCGGGAGAGAUGGAGUCCCGCGGGUGAUGAACGUCUUUGGGCAGUGAAGCGGUUCUGCCUGUUGUGAGGCUGGGUUGACGGUAACUGGAGAAGAAGCACCGGCUAACUACGUG
rnacentral:rRNA from 1 species